rnacentral:rRNA from 1 species
UGGGGAAUAUUGCGCAAUGGGGGCAACCCUGACGCAGCCAUGCCGCGUGGAUGAAGAAGGCCUUCGGGUUGUAAAGUCCUUUCGACGGGGAAGAUGAUGACGGUACCCGUAGAAGAAGCCCCGGCUAACUUCGUGCCAGCAGCCGCGGUAAUACGAAGGGGGCAAGCGUUGUUCGGAAUUACUGGGCGUAAAGGGCGUGUAGGCGGACCGAUCAGUCAGGGGUGAAAGCCAUGGGCUCAACCUGUGAACUGCCUUUGAUACUGUCGGUCUAGAGUCCGUGAGAGGAUAGCGGAAUACCCAGUGUAGAGGUGAAAUUCGUAGAUAUUGGGUAGAACACCAGUGGCGAAGGCGGCUAUCUGGCACGGAACUGACGCUGAGGCGCGAAAGCGUGGGGAGCAAACAGGAUUAGAUACCCCCGUAGUCC